UACAGAGGGGGCAAGCGUUGUUCGGAAUUACUGGGCGUAAAGGGCGCAUAGGCGGCCUGUUAAGUCGAACGUGAAAUCCCUGGGCUCAACCCAGGAACUGCGUCCGAUACUGGCAGGCUUGAAUCCGGGAGAGGGAUGUGGAAUUCCAGGUGUAGCGGUGAAAUGCGUAGAUAUCUGGAGGAACACCGGUGGCGAAGGCGGCAUCCUGGACCGGUAUUGACGCUGAGGCGCGAAAGCCAGGGGAGCAAACGGG
rnacentral:rRNA from 1 species